rnacentral:rRNA from 1 species
GAUGAACGCUGGCGGCGUGCCUAAUACAUGCAAGUCGAGCGAACAGACGAGGAGCUUGCUCCUCUGACGUUAGCGGCGGACGGGUGAGUAACACGUGGAUAACCUACCUAUAAGACUGGGAUAACUUCGGGAAACCGGAGCUAAUACCGGAUAAUAUAUUGAACCGCAUGGUUCAAUAGUGAAAGACGGUUUUGCUGUCACUUAUAGAUGGAUCCGCGCCGCAUUAGCUAGUUGGUAAGGUAACGGCUUACCAAGGCAACGAUGCGUAGCCGACCUGAGAGGGUGAUCGGCCACACUGGAACUGGGACACGGUCCAGACUCCUACGGGAGGCAGCAGUAGGGAAUCUUCCGCAAUGGGCGAAAGCCUGACGGAGCAACGCGGCGUGAGUGAUGAAGGUCUUCGGAUCGUAAAACUCUGUUAUUAGGGAAGAACAAAUGUGUAAGUAACUAUGCACGUCUUGACGGUACCUAAUCAGAAAGCCACGGCUAACUACGUG